rnacentral:rRNA from 1 species
CCUACGGGAGGCAGCAGUGAGGAAUAUUGGUCAAUGGGCGGGAGCCUGAACCAGCCAAGUCGCGUGAGGGAAGACGGUCCUAUGGAUUGUAAACCUCUUUAGGCGGGGAGCAAUGCCGGGCACGUGUGCCCGGAGGGAGAGUACCCGCAGAAUAAGCAUCGGCUAACACCGUGCCAGCAGCCGCGGUAAUCCGGAGGAUGCGAGCGUUAUCCGAAUUUAUUGGGUUUUAGGGAUGCGUAGGCGGUUGUUUAAGUCAGCGGUAAAAUGUCCGGGCUCAACCCGAGCCGGCCGUUGAAGCUGGGGAUCUUGAGUGGGCGAGAAGUAUGCGGAAUGCGUGGUGUAGCGGUGAAAUGCAUAGAUAUCACGCAGAACUCCGAUUGCGAAGGCAGCAUACUGGCGCCCGACUGACGCUGAGGCACGAAAGUGUGGGUAUCAAACAGGAUUAGAUACCCGUGUAGUC